UUGAAGAGAGAGUUCAAGAGUACGUGAAACUGCUCAGAGGCAAACGGGUGGGCCCUCGAAAUCCUUUCGCGGGGGGAUUCAGUCUGGAAUCUCGGUGGCGGCAGUCGGCGUCGGACCCCUCCAGGGCCGCGCCUGGCAGCCGCGGUCUCCGGGCCUCCCGACGCACUUCCCCCCGCGCUGCGGACGCCGCAGCCGGUCGGGUAGCAGCGAGAGUCGGCCGUGAGGGCGGGCGAUGGCAGGUGGCGGAUUAGUCGGCCUCGAGUCGAUUAGCCCGUCGUUAGCCGGUCCCGCUCGUGGCGCGACACCCGACCGUGGUCCUAGUUUCCCCCUCUCGGGGGAUUCGGCCGUCCCCUAUCCAGCGGGAACCGUAGCAGGCGCGUUUCGGCGUCGUCGAGUCACUCCCCGCAGUGGCCGGCGCGUCGCGAUCUCCGCUGGCUUCGGGUGUACCCGCCGGGGACCGAGGGCUGGCGGCGAGUAGGUCGGUCACCCACCCGACCCGUCUUGAAACACGGACCAAGGAGUCUAACACGUGCGCGAGUCACCGGGUCUUGAUCAGGCCCGCGGGCGCAAUGAAAGUGAAGGUCGAAUCUCUCGACCGUGUCGGGACCCGCUCUCGUAAAGGGGGCGGCGCACCGACGACCCGUCCCACCUGGCAUCGCUCAGCGGGGCGGAGUCCGAGCGCACGCGUUGGGACCCGAAAGAUGGUGAACUAUGCCUGGGCAGGACGAAGCCAGAGGAAACUCUGGUGGAGGUCCGCAGCGGUUCUGACGU
rnacentral:rRNA from 1 species